rnacentral:rRNA from 1 species
GACGAACGCUGGCGGCGUGCUUAACACAUGCAAGUCGAACGAAGUGGCGAACGGGUGAGUAAUACGUGGUUAACUGCCCUCCUUUUUGGGAUAAACCUUGGAAACGGGGUCUAAUACCGAAUAAAGGGGGAUGGCUCGCGGCCUAUCAGCUUGUUGGUGGGGUAGUGGCCUACCAAGGCGACGACGGGUAGCCGGCCUGAGAGGGCGACCGGCCAAAUGGGGCUGAGAGACGGCCCAAACUCUGACGGGGGGCAGCAGUGGGGAAUAUUUCACAAGGGGGUAAACCCUGAUGCAGCAACGUCGGGUGCGGGAUGACGGCCUUCGUGUUGUAAACCGCUUUCAGCCAUGACGCGGUAGUGGCAGAAGAAGCACCGGCUAACUACGGGCCAGCAGCCGCGGUAAUAC